rnacentral:rRNA from 1 species
UUGAACGCUGGCGGCCGGCCUCACCCCUGCCAGUCGAGCGGAUGAAGGGAGCUUGCUCCUGGAUUCAGCGGCGGACGGGUGAGUAAUGCCUAGGAAUCUGCCUGGUAGUGGGGGAUAACGUCCGGAAACGGGCGCUAAUACCGCAUACGUCCUGAGGGAGAAAGUGGGGGAUCUUCGGACCUCACGCUAUCAGAUGAGCCUAGGUCGGAUUAGCUAGUUGGUGGGGUAAAGGCCUACCAAGGCGACGAUCCGUAACUGGUCUGAGAGGAUGAUCAGUCACACUGGAACUGAGACACGGUCCAGACUCCUACGGGAGGCAGCAGUGGGGAAUAUUGGACAAUGGGCGAAAGCCUGAUCCAGCCAUGCCGCGUGUGUGAAGAAGGUCUUCGGAUUGUAAAGCACUUUAAGUUGGGAGGAAGGGCAGUAAGUUAAUACCUUGCUGUUCUGACGUUACCAACAGAAUAAGCACCGGCUAACUGCGU